GAGCCGGGUGGCCGGGUUACCUUCGGGGUUGGCGCUGAUGAAGACGCGGACGCUCCUGCCGCUCGGCACCAGGUGGGCCGGCAGCGCCGCCAGGUUGCCGGCGAAGGCCGCCCGCCGCAGCGCGGCGUCCCGCGGGCAGGGCAGCCUGCCGCCCGCCCCGGCCGCCCACAUGGCGCCGCGCCGCAGGGCUCACGGCAGUCGCCGGCCCGCGCUGCUGCUGCUGCUGCUGCUGCUGCUGCUGGCGGCUGCCGGCGGACGGGCGGCGGCGGCCAUGCGGCCCCUGCGCUGCUCUCUCGGCGGCGGGGAGAAAGUUUGGCGGCCGAGCCCCGCGGCGGCGUGUCUGGUCCCGGCGGGGUGGGCUGCGGGCAGCCCCGCGGCGCCCGCCCUCCUCCGAGCGCUUCAGGGCCCCCGGGCCGGAUUUUUAUAGGAAAAGUGCCGGCGGCGCAUCCUCCGGGCUCGCAAGAGUUCAGCGCCCUCCUUGCGUCUUCUGGAGCCGCCCGCGCAGGAGUCCCAGCUGCGGAGAUAUAACACCAAAACCGAGCUUUUCAGAUCAGCCCUUUUUCUCUGAAGACACAAGCUUCCUGUGUGAAACAUGUGGGCCUGACCCAGGUGCUGAGGCUAUCGGCAUUGCUGCUUCUGUCAGCCUCCAUGGAGCUGCUUGGCAAGUAAUGUGGGCACAGUCUGAUGGUAUUUCGGGAAGCCAGUAGCUCCCUAGAUGGCUUUCCUGUAUUUAGGAAUGAAUUAAAGUUUCACUCUUCAUAUUAAGGAUAUCACAGAGGUCACUUAGUGAUCUCCAGAGGAGACGGGCAGUUGAACUGUGCAGGAGAUAAAAGCGCACUGCCAGAUAAUCCAUUGAGCAAAUAAUUGGCUGUGCCUUCAGACUGCCGUGAUACCAUGACUGUUAGGAGAAAACAUCACUGGAAACGUCUGAGAGUGGUAAAAUCUCACAAAAUUAAAUCUCACAAGUUACAGACUCAGGUAUGACAAUCAAAUGCAUGAAGCUGCUUAAUUCUGUACUCUUUACUUGAGAGCUUUUGUAGCAUUUUGCACCAAUACAGAAAUAGGUGGCACCUCAGAGCUACUACAUUUCAGAGUCUUGCUGAGCGUUUCCAGGAAGCACUCAAAUGAUCAAUGGAGACAUUUUUUUCUCUUAGUCAUAGACAUUUAAUUUUAUGUGUAUUCCAUAUAAACAGGAUUAGGUUUAAUCAACUGUAGUUUUCUUAAGUGUGAGUUAUUUUGCUGUCAUACCUGCGCUAUAAUUUAAUUAAUGUCUCAAUGGAUACUUAAAUCAAUAUCUCUUGGUCCCACCUGCCCUGCUUUCUCUUGCAAAUAAACAGCCAUGCUACAGUUAACAAAUCAGUGGAUGUUUAGGAACAGAGAUGCCUUUUCUUCUGUGGUGUGGAUUAACCUUGCAACCUGGAAAUGGCAGCAGCAGAAGUGUAGGCACCCCUGUGUUAUGGUGGGCUCACACAUGUUCUUGCUUCAGUCUGAACUCAACCGCAGUUUUGAGAUAUCUCUCCCAGUUGUCCCCACUUCCUGGGUUUGGUCUGGCAUCGUCAGUAGUCUCGGGGUGCAGGAACUGGAAUCACCUUUCAGGUGAUACUAAACUGAACGGCAAUUGUGGCAUUCAGCCCAUGGGGCCAGACUGGAGAUAGUUUGAAGUAAAGUACCAAAAUCUAAAAUGUGUGUGCUGUUGGUAUCAAAUCCUCUGCAUCAACAGUUUUACUCUACAGACCUACUGCUUUUGGUCCACACUAGUUGCUAAUGUAGCAAAAAGUACAGGCUUUUUUUAUUGAUGAUUUCCAGAUAGCAGGGAACAGAAAGUAUCCCUCAUCUAUAGAGUGACACAGAGACUUCAAGAUUCAUAUUUUUUCAGUAGUCAGAACAGAAA